GUUUCACUUGAUUGUUUAUUCUGUGACAUAUCUCAAUUGAAUGUGUUUUGAGAAUAUAUUUGGUCCUCAAACAUAAUGAAACAUAUUUCAUUUAGACUUUUAUCGCAUAGCUACGCAUAUGCAUAUACCAUAUCUCAAUAUUACUCAUUUUGAUUUAUGAUGAUGACACAUUUUCAGUCAUACAUGCAUUAUUUAUUUCAUCCCAGCAGUGAUGAUCUGUAUCCAGGAGGGGUUAUAACUAGGUUGUUUCCUUGUGGUCCACAGAUUUGUUGAAGUCUCUUGGUAGACAGUUGUCAGAAAGAGGACACCUGUUAAUGUUGGAUUAUUUAAUCCAUACAUGAAGACAUCUUUUUUCUAAAAUUGUCUGUGGUGACAGAGAAGCUGAAGAAAGAGCAGGACACCCACUAGAAGGGAGGUUUCACCACACAUUUGCUUUUCUUCAAAUGAGUCAACUAUAUCGGCUGCAGACGCAAAACCAACGCUUACAACAUGGCGGACACUGACUGCUCUACCGGAUGAUGACAGCGCAGGACGCCCGAGGUAGACUUCAGCAACCCCAAGCGGGAGCAGGAAAGUAAACAUUUCACCCUCUGUUUUUAGGAUUCGUUCUAGUUAGCUAGCUAAGCCAAACCAACGAAGAAGAAGCUAGCUAGCUGACGUUAGCCACACGGCGCGCCGGCAGAGCCAGGAGCUUCAGCAGCUGAAGCACCAACACAGUCCCGUCCCGCAAGACGACCAUGACUCCCCCUCAGCAGGCCAUCCACCGCCAGCCGCCCCCGGACACAAUUAGCCAGAAAGUGCAGUUAACUUACAAACUGUUUCUGCUGGAAAAUGCCCGGAAUACACUUGAACAAGAGCUUCUCAACCUCACCAAUAAGGCCUAUGAAGAGGUUCAAAGUUUCUUCAAUUCAUCUUCUCCCACCAGUGUAUUCAGUGACCUUACAAAGGCUUUGGACUCAAAAUGUCAAGCAGUUGAAAAGCUCUCUGCUUUAUUAACGGACCUCACGGUUGAGCCUCACAUUUACAUUGAAAAUGGAAUGAGAAAAAAACAACUUGAGCCUCUUGGAAACAAAGGGAACCAGAUAACAGAUGUUUUCAAGUUUGGGCCCAUGUUGCAGAACUCGCUGAUGGCGAGCUCCAUAGCCAAGGCAGUCCAGGUGCUUGGAGCCACACUGCCCCUUCAACAGUUGAAACAUUUCCUCAUCUCCCAACCCUCGGCCGUCCUGCAGGAGGACAAGAUAUGCAGCAAUGCGUCCAGCUACAAUGGCACCGUUGUGACUACUAGCUCAUCCUCUCACUUAAAGGCUGAAGAACAAGAACAUGCUGUUGUUUUUGAAGAGGAACGCCCACCAGAUGCUGGGAUUCUUCCACCUGUCAUUAUUCAGAGUCCUGAGAUUAGCGCAGAGAGGCCACCAGUACUGCUCCCUCCCAUACAGGCUAUAUUCCCAGAGAUCAGUAACCCUAACCCAAUGAAAAUAACACCACUAAUUAGGUGGGGAUGUGAGGAUGAUGUCCACAUGCAACACCAAAAACAAACAUCCUCACAGCUGCUUCACUUCCUCAGAGCAAAAGCUAAAAACAUGGGGGCACUAGAGGUCGCUGUCAUGGCGUGGAAUAUUAGUACAUACACUUCAAGUUCACCACAGUCAAACUCACCUAUCAAAACCCAAAGCUGCCAAUUGAAACAAGUUGCAACGGAUGAUCUGAUCGACACACAGGCUCCAAAAACCCUGAGCGCAGACAUGGAAAACCAAGCCCCAGUGUUCAGAGUAAAAAGAGUGGAAUCAAGUGGCUCUCUAACCUAUGCUUGUGUGAUUGCAACAAAGACUGAAUUGUGGGAUAUUGGAGACAUCUUUACAGAGGUUGGACAAGGGGCUUCUGAAACUAACCACUUGGAAAUUGAAGACAAAAGCGGAAAUAUAGCAGCUCAACUGGAGAACUCCUGUGUAAACAUGCAGUGGGAAACCCAAAAUCUGCAAUGCACAGAACCGGAACAUGAGGGCGUUUCUGCUAGUUACAAAUCACAAGGAAUCAACAGUAUCAACAUUCCUGAGUUCCAGAUUAAGAAGUUUGAAGAGACUGAAGUUGUGGUGUCGCAUAUUGUCAGCCCAGGCAACUUCUACAUCCAACAGGUCAGCUCCAUCAUGAAGCUGCAGGCCCUUGUCACAGACAGCUGGAAAGCUACGACAUCAUACGCGGAGCAGAACUGCAUUCCAGACAUUGGAACCAAAGUAAUGGGUUGGUUCCCUGAGCAGGAACAAUGGUGCAGGGCUCAGGUGACAAAGAUAUGUGGAAUAAGUGGAGAUAAAAAUGCCACUGAUGGUGCUGGGAGUGAGACAUCUGUCAAAGUGGAGGUGAAGAGGCUGGACUACGGUGACACUACCUGCCUGUCACUGUUAAAAAUCAAGGAGCUGGCUCCAGAAAUGGCUGCCCUACCGCUUCAGGCUUUACAGGUCUCACUGGCAAAUGUGACGCCUGUGAAUGGGAGUGAUUGGUCUAUGGAGGCUGUGGGCUGGUUCCAAGCUAUGGUCCACAACAGGACGCUCUAUGCCAGACUUUACCCACAGGGGCCUAAAGUUACAGUUGAGAUGUUCUUGGAAAAGGGAAAGCUCGGAGCGAUGAGGAGGGGAGCAUCACUGUCUCUGAGACUGACUGAGAACGGACACGCAAAACACAGCAAACUGAGGAAUUAUGGUGUCAAGAAAAUAAGCGCUGUUCAGGUAAAAAUGAGACAACAGGACUCAGAGUGGGGAAAAUACCUCAUCUCCUGCUAUACUCAGAGCAAGAAGUAGUACAGAAAGCAGAGAGUGGAGGAGUUUGACCAGAACAAACUGUGAAAUCUCAGUUCAUAAUGACGCAGGGUUCCCCCGGGUCCUUGAAAUCCUUUAAAGUUUGUGAAUCAAUGUCUUUAAAGCUUUUUGCAUAUAGAUAUAAACAGACAUCAUCUAUUGAAAGUGCAUAGAUUUCCGUAUUUUUGCAAGAAUAUAAGUUCUUUUGAUAUAUUUUUUUUAAAUUGUUGUCUGUGAGCCUCUGUAAUGUCUGCUCUUGUUCUCAUUAUUAUAUUUCUCAGUGUUGUAACAGUAAUCGAGCCUGAUCUGUAUCUCUUUAACUCCUUUUAGGGAGUCAGGGCUGGAAGUCAUUAUAUUUGAUCUUAAACAAGGUGUCAGAAGCAUGAUAGAAUAAAUGUAUAAAGACACAUAAUCUGAUUUGAAAUGAUAAUUGUGCAGAUUGAGUUUUAUCUCUCAUUAUUUAAUAGUUUGUUGAAAGCACACUGUGCUUUAUAGCAGAGACAUAACUGUGAAGUAACACAAAUGACAAAUUAAAUGCGGUAUGAUCAACUAUGUCAUGUGCUCACAAACCAAUGUCAAACAAUGAAUGAAUGAACCAAAUUUUAUAGAAAAGUAGUUUUGUGGAUAAUUAAUUUUUCUGGUAAAAACAUUAGCAGCAGCAGCAUCUGGCACACAGCAGCUUAAUUAAAUUUCAUGUUCGUGACUAGAAUAUAUUUGCCCAAUUUAUGGUAUUAAAGCAUUUUAAAUUUGUGGCUUGGUUACAAUACAAAAAAACAGCAUGAACGAAUGAGAGGACUGGUCUUAAUUAAAUCUUGUGUAUAAAGUAAAAACUGGCUUUGAUUUUCCACUACUUAUGUGUUUACAUUAGUUGACCAGCUCAAGUAUUUGCUGGAUGAAUCUGCAAACCCGGUCCGUGACUCUGUGCUCCUCAAUGACAGUGGCUCAGGUCAAAAGCUUCCUUCACUCGCCUGCCCUGCCAAGCACAAUAAAUAAUGUGGCAGGCUGAGGCCUUUUGUGUCCACACAGAUUCCUUCUUUUGCCCGGGGUAGGCGGAAAUCGAGGCGUUUGAUCUGAAUUCUAAAGAGUCUUGUUGCAGCCCAAUAAAGGCCGCCAUUGUAUGUAAAUAGUUUAUAUAAGAGCAUAUGACUGCUACGGUGCAGGGCAGUGGCUAGUGGCGGAGGAAUGAUUAGCAUUUUCCAAACGCAUGCUGUUCUCAAUCCAGCCUUUUGGCUUGCUAAAAAACACAAUAUUUUAAUUCAUUUCCUCCCGAUUUGUACACAUUUUUGUGUACCACCACAGCUGAAG
rnacentral:lncRNA from 1 species